rnacentral:lncRNA from 1 species
CUUCUAAACCACACAAGCAUAGACACAACCAAAGCCCCAACCCAAACUAGCCUACAGUUUCAAAAGGAAUAUGCUUUGUUAAAUAAUCAAAAUCAAAAAAAAGGUCAGUGAAUGAAAACAAAAAAUGAAAGUGAAAUAUAAAACCGAUAAAAAUUGCGGAUUAAUUUCUGACGCUACAUUUACCAAUUACCUUCCCAGUAACAUCACUCUGCUUUUUCCUAUCCUGUAUGGCCUUGCUCCAGGAAUAACCAUUUAAAUUCAUGAGUAUUUCCCCUCCCGAUGAUGUCUGCUACAAACUCUUUCCAGAAAAAAAAAAAAUGCCCUGAUCACAAGGAUCUUUCUGGGGAAACAGUGGGUGCAGUGGAGAUCAAUUCAUUGAUUGGAAAAACACUGAGCAGCUACACUGGACGUGAAGUUUGUAUGAACAGUGCGACCCCCACUCUUCUCCAGGCCCCAUCAGCACAGGACCAGUCUAGAGCAGAGGGUUCUAGCACUGGUGACCACGUCUCCCACCCACUCACACCUACCGCGGUAAGAGUCCACAGGGAGUUUCCAAACAGCCUGUCUCUGAUCCCUUCUCCCAGCUCAUCGCAUCCUGAUGCUGUGUUCCUACAUAGUUCCCCUCCGCCCCCCCACAAACACGUGACCAUAACCCCUUAUUCUUUCUCUACAAUUCUCUGUUAAGUUCCUUCAGUAUUUUUAUCUCUUUUCAUGUCUGGUUUCUUUUCCUUGCUGGCAAUUGAGUGCCCAACUCUAAUUCCAAAAACAAUUCCACUGCUCAUCUCUCUGUGUCCAGCAGGUGUCUCCACUGGAAAAUAAAUAGCACCAACCAUGUCCUCUCCUACAGGGUGAACUCUGUCCCACAACAGAGGUGCCCCCUCUGACUUCAGAUGUAAAGAAAUGGAAAGGCGACCUUCUAGAGAGGUAUGCUCACCUACACGAGGAUCUUCAGAAAUAUCUACUUACUUCCAUCUCCGGUAGACAAACAUUGUACAGAGCAUUUUUUUUUUGACCUUGGACAAAGUAUUUAACUUCUUGGAACCUCACUUUCUUGGUCUGUGGCGUAGAGAGAAAUAGGUCCCUAUGGGGAUACUGGGAGAAGAGAACGAGAUGCAAACAUGAUGUACCUAGCCCAGGGCUGAGGACAUGCC